CUCCCUUCGCUGACUCUCCUUUCGGACUCAGCCCACCUGCACCCAGGUGAAAUAAACAGCCUUGUUGCUCACACAAAACCUGUUUGGUGGUCUCUUCACACGGACGUGAGUGAAAUUUUGGUGCCGUGACUCGGAUUGGGGGACCUCCCUUGGGAGAUCAAUCCCCUGUCCUCCUGCUCUUUCUCCGUGAGAAAGAUCCACCUACGACCUCGGGUCCUCAGACCGACCAACCCAAGGAACAUCUCACCAAUUUUAAAUUGGACGGAGUUUCAGUCUUGUUGCCCAGGCUGGAGUACAAUGGCGCAAUUUGGGCUCACAGCAGCGAUUCUCCUCCCUCAGCCUCGCGAGAAGCUGGGAUUACAGGCAUGUGCCACCACGCCCAACUAAUUUUGUAUUUUUAGUAGAGACGUGGUCUCUCCAUGUUGGUCAGGCUGGUCUCGGAACUCCUGAACUCAGGUGAUCCGCCUGCCUCAGCCUCCCAAAGUGCUGAGAUUACAGGUGUGAGCCACUGUGCCCGGCCUAAUUUUUUGUAUUUUUAGUAGAGACAAGGUUUAACCAUGUUGGCCAGGGUGGUCUCAAACUCCUGAUCUCAGGUGAUCCACCUGCCUUGGCCUCCCAAAGUGCUGGGAUUACAGGCAUGAGCCACCUCGCCCAGCCAUGUGAGGCUCAUUUUUAACCUUUUGAUGAUUAUACUUGGAGGGGUGGCCUGCCCCUCCACACCUGUGGGUAUUUUUAGUUGGGUGGGAUGAGAGACUGAGAAAAGAAAUAAGACACAGAGACAAAGUAUAGAGAAACAAUAGUGGGCCCAGGGGACUGGUGUUCAGCACACCAAGGACCUGCACCGGCACCGGCCUCUGAGUUCCCUCAGUUUUUAUUGAUUAUUAUUUUCAUUAUUUUAGCAAAAAGGAAUGUAGUAGGAGAGCAGGGUGAUAAUAAGGAGAAGGUCAACAAAAAACAUGUGAGCAAAAGAAUCUAUAUCAUAAUUAAGUUCAAGGGAAGGUACUAUUCCUGGACAUGCACGUAGGCCAGAUUUAUGUUUCUCUCCACCCAAACAUCUCAGUGGAGUAAAGAAUAACAAGGCAGCAUUACUGCAAACAUGUCUCGCCUCCCACCAUAGGGCGGUUUUUCUCCUAUCUCAGAAUUGAACAAGUGUACAAUCGGGUUUUAUACCAAGACAUUUAGUUCCCAGGGGCAGGCAGGAGACAGUGGCCUUCCUCUAUCUCAACUGCAAGAGGCUUUCCUCUUUUACUAAGCCACCUCAGCACAGACCCUUUAUGGGUGUCAGGCUGGGGGACAGUCAGGUCUUUCUCAUCCCACGAGGCCAUAUUUCAGACUGUCACAUGGGGAGAAACCUUGGACGAUACCCUGCUUUCAAGGGCAGAGGUCCCUGUGGCUUUCCACAGUGCAUUGUGCCCCUGGUUUAUUGAGACUAGAGAAUGGCAAUGACCUUUAUCAAGUAUAUUGCUUGUAAACAUUUUGUUAAUAAGGCAUGUCCUGCACAGCCCUAGAUCCCUUAAACCUUGAUUUUAUACAACACAUGUUUUUGUGAGCUCCAAGUUCGGUCAAAGUGGUUGGGUCAAAGUGGCUGGGGCAAAGCUACAAAUUAACAACAUCUCAGCAAAGCAAUUGUUUAAAGUACAGGUCUUUUUCAAAAUGGAGUCUCUUAUGUGUUUCCUUUCUACAUAGACACAGUGACAGUCUGAUCUCUCUUACUUUUCCCUACAAUACUGUGAUAGUAGCAUUGAUGGUUUGGAAGUGGCAAAUGAGAAGUGAGGCUGGGAGGCUUUUCAAAGGAGAUUUCAGGAAUUCUGAUGAGGCCCUGUGAGGGCCUGACCCACAGCUAUAGCAAGGAAAAAGGCAAGGUCAGGGGGUUGAUGGGGAGACACUGAAGCAGGGCGACCUACAGGGAUUGGUACUUGAGAACUAUGCAGGAGGAAUGGGGUGGGGCCGGUGUGGGGGUGGAGGGAGUGCAGGAACCCCCUGAAGCUCCUGGCUCAGAAAGCUACCCCCUGCAAGCCCAGGUCUUCUCUGUUGUGCUCCUCAUUAGCAUUUGAGAAGCUGGACAAUGCUUAAAAUUCACCCAGUUCUAGGGCUGGGUCUACAGUUGUUACCAAAUGUCUCCAUAGCUUCCAGUGUGAAUCGCAUUCAGAAUUACAAUCAGAUAGAAACGCACUCAGGCCCUUUUCAUUUAAAACAAACAAAAACAUGAGGGAUAGGAGGGCACAGAGAAUAAAAAACAUCAAGAGAAAAGCGCCCUAGGGCAAACUUCAUCUUUUUUUUUUUUUUUUUUUUUGAGAUGGAGUCUCGGCUCUAUCGCUCAGGCUGGAGUGCAGUGGUGCAAUCUUGGCUCAAUACAACCUCUGCCUCCCAGGUUCAAGCGAUUCCCCUGUCUCAGCCUCUCGAGUAGCUGAGAUUACAGGAGCACGCCACCAUGCCCAGCUAAUUUUAUUUUUUUAUUUUUUAUUUUUUUUGCAUUUUAGUAAAGAUGGGGUUUCACCAUGUUGCCCAGGCUGGUCUCGAACUCCUGAGCUCAGGCAAUCCACCCGCCUCGGCCUCCCAAAGUGCUAGGAUUAUAAGCAUGAGUCACCGUGCCCGGCUGAACUUUCUCUUAUUAUGUAUAUACAUAUAGUCGGGCCGGGCGCGGUGGCUCACGCCUGUAAUCCCAGCACUUUGGGAGGUCGAGGCGGGUGGAUCACAAGGUCAGGAGUACAAGACCAGCACGGCCAACAUGGUGAAACCCUGUCUCUACUAAAAGUACAAAAAAAUUAACCAGGCGUGGUGGCACAUGCUUGUAAUCCAGCUACUCGGGAGGCUGAGGCAGAAUUGCUUGAACCCGAGAGGCGGAGGUUGCAGUGAGCCGAGAUUGUGCCACUACACUCCAGCCUGGGUGACAGAGCGAGACUCCAUCUCAAAAAAAAAACCAAAAAAUUAUGUAUAUACAUAUAGUCAGCGCACCAGAAUAUGAAUGAAUGCUGGUCAUAUUUACAGUGUAUGAAGCCCUUUUACAUACAAUUUAUCAUCUAAUCCACACAAACCUUGGGGAGGUGGAUAUAAAUAAAAACAAUGACUCUUUUGUGUGGGUGGAAGGAGUGUAGGAGCUGGAUAAAGCUUCUGGCUUGGAAAACCACCCCCUGCACAUCCAAGUCUUCCCCUGUUGUGGUUAUCUUGUGCUUAUUAUUAGCGACGUAAUCCUAACUUCUUCAUGACUUACGGCCACUUCCUCCUGGGACCCAGCUGGAGUGAGCAAGUGAGUAAAACGCAAGCUCUUUUAAUUCUUGAGACAGCAAAGCAUAUUAGGGAAGGAAAUACACAAGUGAGAAAAAUCACAUUGUGAAUUUCAAAGCCGAGGGACAAAACUGCAGAACUGCGGGAGCCAGUGAUAGGUUUGGCCAUUAUUGACCCUCAGGAUCACCCAGGACUCAGCCUCUUCUGUUUCCUGAACUUCCAUCGAGUACAGCCUUCAGCUGUAGCCACUAAGCUGUAAUGCAAUUGCUUUACAAGACACAGUCUGGCACUGUCUUUUCUGACAGUGGGGGAGAUGCCCUGGCAGGAUGACGGCUCAGCUAAGGAGUCAGGGUUAUGGGUAUUUUCUUACUUUUUAUCUUGGAAUUUCAGAUUUUAAAAAAAAGUUUGAUAGUAUAGAGAGUUCCUGUAUACUUUCCACCCAGCUUCCUCUGCAGUUAAUUUUUUUUUUUUUUUUUUUUGAGACGGAGUCUCACUCGGUCGCCCAGGCUGGAGUGCAGUGCUGCUAUCUUGGCUCACCGCAAGCUCCACCUCCCGGGUUCACACCAUUCUCCUGCCUCAGCCUCCUGAGUAGCUGGGACUACAGGUGCCCACCACCAUGCCCAGCUAAUUUUUUUUCGUAUUUUUAGCAGAGACAGGGUUUCACUGUGUUAGCCAGGAUGGUCUUGAUCUCCUGACCUCGUGAUCCGCCCAUCUUGGCCUCCCAAAGUGCUGGGAUUACAGGCAUGAGCCACCGCCCCCGGCCUCCUCUGCUGUUAAUCUUAUAUAAUCGUGGUACAUUUGUCAAUUUACCAUUGGUACAAUACUAAAUUUCACUCACCGUGUGAAGAGACCACCAAACAGGUUUUGUGUGAGCAACAAGGCUGUUUAUUUCACCUGGGUGCAGGUGGCCUGAGUCCAAAAAGAGUCAGUGAACGGAGAUGGGGUGGGGCCGUUUUAUAGGAUUUGGGUAGGUAGUGGGAAAUUACAGUCAAAGGGGGUUGUUCUCUGGUAGGCAGGAGUGGGGGUCACAAGGUGCUCAGUGGGGGAGCUUUUGAGCCAGGAUGAGCCAGGAGAAGGAAUUUCACAAGGUAAUGUCAUCAGUUAAGGCAGGCAUGGGCCAUUUUCACUUCUUUUGUGAUUCUUCAGUUACUUCAGGCCAUCUGGAUGCAUACAUGCAGGUCACAGGGGAUAUGAUGGCUUAGCUUGGGCUCAGAGGCCUGACACUAAACCAUGGAUCAGCUUUUCCCCUAACAUCCUUUUUAAGUUCCAGAAUCAAUCCUAGAAUACUGUUACUGAAAGAGGUCCCAAUCCAGACCCCAAGAGAGUUCUUGCAUCUCCUGAAAGACAGUAAGGGAGGAGACCAUCCCUCAUAUUGUUUUAUGCCCAAUUUCUGCCUCCAAAGAAAGAAGAAGUAAAGACUAAAAGGCAGAAAUGAAAUCCACAGGCAGACAGCCCGGUGCUGUGCCCUAGGCCUGGUAGUUAAAGAUCGACCCCUGACCUAACCGGUUAUCUUAUCUACAGAUUCCAGACAUUGUAUGGAAAAGCACUGUGAAAAUCCCUGUCCUGUUCCAUUCUGAUUAUCGGUGCUGCACCCCCAGUCACGUACCCACUGCUUGCUCGAUUGAUCACAACCCUCUCAUGCAGACCCCCUUAGAUGUGUAAGCCCUUAGAAGGGACAGGAAUUGCUCUCUCAGGAAGUUCGACUUUUGAGAAGCAAGCCUGCUGAAGUUCCUGGCUGAAUAAAGCUCUUUCCUUCUUUAACCUGGUGUCUGAGGAGUUUUGUCUGUGGCUUGUCCUGCUACAUUUCUUGGUUCCCUGAUGGGGAAGCGAGGUGAUUGGCAGACAGUCGAGGCAGCCCCUUAGGUGACUUAGGCCUGUCCUGUGGAGCAUCCCUACAGGGUACUCCGACCAGCCUGAGUGACGCAGAUCCAAACAGCACUCCCGGGUAGGCAAUUGCCCCAGUGGGAUGCCUCACCAGAGCAGCGUGUGGCAGGCCCCUGCAGAGGAUCAACACAGUGGAUGAACACCGGGAAGGAACAGGCACUUGGAGUCUGGACAUCUGAAACAUGCUAAGACUGGUCUUUGGAACUUGUGCACUCCAUUUGAGUGGAAGCAUGGCCUGAUCACCCAUGGCGUGCCUCUACCAGCACUUUGGUUUUUGUUUUUUACUUGACUUGGAUUGCUUGAUACUUUGGUUUUGGUUUUGACCUGGCUUGGAUUUCCUGAUACUCUGAUUUUGGUUUUGAUUCUGGUUUGGUGUAAACUGUAAAAGUGUGUGUGUGCCCUUUUUACUUGUUCUUUGUUUUGUGGGGUGCGAGUGGUGUGAGCGUGGUGUUUUGUCUCAAGGAAGCAUGGAUCAGGCACAAACUAAGCCCACCCCACUAGGAACUAUGCUGAAAAAUUUCAAGAAAGGAUUUAAGGGAGAUUACAGUGUUACUAUGACACCAGGAAAACUUAGAACUUUGUGUGAAAUAGACUGGCCAGCAUUAGAGGUGGGUUGGCCAUCAGAAGGAAGCCUGGACAGGUCCUUUGUUUCAAAGGUAUGGCACAAGGUAACCUGUAAGCGAGGGAACCCAGACCAGUUCCCGUACAUAGACACUUGGUUACAGCUGGUUUUAGAUGCCCCCCACAGUGGUUGAGAGAACAGCAGCAUAAGCAGCUGGCAGAGGCAAGGAAAGACCAGCAGAGAGAGAGAAAGGAAAGAGACAGAGACAUUAACCACUGAAAAUUCCCUUGACCCAGCAGGUUUCCUAACGGGAUCUAAAUCUGAAUUACCAUACCAAGGUCUGACCAGACCUAGUAGGAACUCCCUUUAGGAUAGGACAAUAGAUGGUUCCUCCCAGGUAAUUGAAGGAAAAAAAAAAGAAAAAAGCCAUCUAUACCAAUUAUAAGUUAAUUUGGACUAAACAAGGUCUUAUUAAUAGCAAAGAAUAAUUGAAAUCCCAAACUUACAAGGUUUUCAACAAAAGUAAAAUUUGCUAAACGUAAACAGUGUAACAUGUAUUAUACUAACUUCUAAUCUUGUGUCCUUAGACAGUCUAGUCCACAGACAUAAAGGAAGCUUGCUUUGGAAAAGAAUGGUUAUCGUCUUCAAAAAAAAAAGGGGGAAAAAAGGGGGGGCAGAAUUUAUCUAAAAAAAAAAUGUUAUAUGGUAAAUUCUUGUCCUAAAAUAAAUUAACUGGUUGUUUAAAGAAAGAAAUGUUUGCAAUAAGUCAGAAAGUUGAGGCAUGUCGAAGAAUUGUCUGCGAAAGUCAUGAAAAAAGUUAUAAAAAAAGAAUUUAUGCAAGAAAUGUUGUACAAUUUAAAAGUAAUUAGGCCUCCUGAAUGUAAAACUAUUGAAGAAAAAGUUUAUGUGCAAGGUGUAUAAGAAAAGUAAACUAUACCUCUGGUAAAAGGAUUAAAAGGAAGCAUAAGGAUGUGGAUUUUUACCUACAUUAAAAGGUUUAAAAAAAUUUGCUUUGAAGGUUUAAGCAAGUUUUAAAAUGUUAAUUGUAAAGGAAAUUCUGUGUGUAAACAUAUUGGCUAAAGUUAAAGGGGUAUCUUUUUUUUCUGUGAACUGAACAUUAAAAAAAAACACAACAGGUUUUUCUUAAAGUGCUAACCUGCUCUUUAACAAAAAUUAUAAAAGGUUAAAAAGAGUCUAUAAAAAUCUUACCUUAUGGUCUGACAUUAAAAAUUGAAUAAACAUGUCUACAAAGAAAACAAAGUUUAACAUUAAUAACACACUCAAAUAAAGGUGACAUUUAGCUUAUCUGGUAUAAACAUACAGGAAGCGUUGUCAAAUAUAAAAUGGUGUUUAGCUUUCUUUGGCCUAAAAACAAAUAAAAAUAGGUGAAAACAAAUAAAAAUAGGUGCUAAAGGAAAUUUCUCAGUAAAAAGGCACCAAGGACUAUAAAGUCCACUGCUGAUGUCCCCACAUUUAAAACAAAAGGUCAAUUUCUUAAAAAUUAUAUACUUGGUUUAGCACAUAUACCACCCCUAGAAUUUCCGGUAAAACAGCACCAGCCUGAAGAUCAUGUUCUCAUCAAAGGGUGGAAAGAAGGAAAACUCGAGUCAGCCUGGGAAUGACCCUACGUUGUGCUGUUAACCACCAAGACUACUGUUCAUACAGCGGAAAGGGGAUGGACUCAUCACACCUGAGUCAAGAAAGUGCCACCCCUCCAGAGUCGUGGGCCAGAGUCCCAGGGGAAAACCCUACCAAACUAAAGCUAAGAAAAAUUUAACUUCUUCAUCUAUUCUAUUACUCUUUCUUCUUUCCUCUCUCUAUUGCUGACCAUCUAGUUAUUAACAUAACCAAGUCAAUUUCAUCUCAAACUAUUGCAUUUAAUGCUUGCCUUGUUACACCCUGUGGGGACUUGCCAAGUCAAAGACAGCUCUCUACUUCAGAAAAGUACCUCUGUCCCUCCUGACUCCCCUCAGACUGGGCAUUAGUAAAUUGGGACAAUUUAAUCCAGGGAGAUUUCGAUAAAGACCCCAGUGACAACCAGGAGUCUUGCCCCCCAAUUUAGAGCUUUUAUGCUAUAGUUGGUUCAACGUUCUGUGGACCACUAAACAGCAAGGAUGGACUGCCCCAACCAGUUUUUGUAAUUUCCUAAAACCAUACAUUCAUUUUACUAGAGGAUCAUAGAAGUUAAAGACUUAAAAUGAACUUUGGCAAUUAAGACAGGAUAUCAAGAUGAAAAUGCCUGGUUGGAAUGGAUCAAAUAUUCUGUCCACACAUUAAAAAAAAGUGAUUGUUAUGCUUCUGCAUGUGGCAGGCCAGAGGCCCAGAUUGUCUGCUUUCCACGAAGGUGGUCCUCCAGUAGACCAGGCAUGGGCUGCAUGGUAGCUCUUUUCCAGGAUUCUACAGCCUGGAGUAAUAAGUCAUGCCAAGCUCUCUCUGCUAUAUCCCGAAGUCCGGCACCCUGUGGGUCAGCCCCCAAGGGCCAUCCAGCUUCCGUCUCCCAACACUAAGUUUGCUUCAUGUCUCUCAUGACAGGGAGGAAACUUAGCGUUCCUUGGAGACCUGAAGGGAUGCAGUGAGCUUAAGAAUUUUCAAGAGCUUAUGUAUCAAUCAGCCCUUGUUCAUCCCCAAGCGGAUGUGUGGUGGUAUUGUGGUGGACCUUUACUGGGCACUCUGCCAAAUAACUGGAGUGGCACUUAUGCUUUAGUCCAAUUGGCUAUCCCUUUCACCCUGGCAUUUCACCAACCAGAGGGAGGAAAAAUAAGACAUCAUAAAGUGAGAGAAGCCCCUUAUGGGUCUUUCUACUCUCACAUCUAUUAAGAUGCAAUUGGAGUCCCAUGGGGAAUACCAGAUCAAUUUAAAGCCCAAAAUCAAAUAGCUGCAGGAUUUGAGUCAAUAUUUUGGUGAGUGACAGUUAAUAAAAAUGUAGAUUAGAUAAACUACAUCUAUUAUAACCAACAGCAACGAUAUUUUCAUGAGUUAAAAGAAAAAUUCAUGUCGGCCCCAGCCCUGGGGCUACCUGACCUGACAAAACCUUUUACACAAUAUGUAUUAGAGAGAGAGGAAAAAAAAUGGCAGUUAGAGUUUUGACCCAGACUGUGGGGCCCUGGCCGAGACCAGUGACCUACAUCUCUAAACAACUAGAAGAGGUUUCUAAGAGUUGGCCCCCAUGUUUGAGGGCCUUGGCAGCAACACCCCUGCUAGCACAAGAAGUGGAUAAGCUAACUCUUAGGCAAAACCUAAACAUAAAGGCUCCCCCAUGCUUUAAUAAAUACCAAAAGACAUCAUUGGCUAACGAAUGCUAGACUAACUAGAUACCAAAACUUGCUCUGUGAAAAUUCCCGCAUAAUCAUUGAAGUUUGCAACACCCUGAACCCUGCCACCUUGCUCCUGGUAUCAGAGAGCCCAGUUGAACAUAACUGUGUAAAAGGUGUUGGACUCAGUUUAUUUCUGCAGGCCCAACCUCCGAGACCAUCCUUGAACAUCAGUAGACUGGGAGCUGUAUGUGGACAGGAGCAGCUUCGCCAACUCUUGCAAAGUGACUCUGAAGAAGACCAGAAGCCCUGCUCCAGUCACACCCAGAAGCUGACUGGUCCACGCAUGGCCAAAGCAUGAGGAAACUCAUCGCAGGACUCAUUUUCCUUAAAAUUUGGACUUGUACAGUAAGGACUUCAACUGGCCUUCCUCAGACUGAGCACUGUUCCCAGUAUAUACAUCAAGUCACUGAGGUAGGACAAAAGGUUGCUAUAGUCCCAUUAUUUUAUGGUUAUUAUAAGUGUACGGGGACUCUAAAAGGAACUGAUUUGUAUAAUGCUAUACAAGGUAUGUAGCCCAGGAACUGACCAGCCUGAUGUGUGCUAUAAUCCAUCUGAGCCCCCUAUGACUACCAUUUUUAAAAUAAGUUAAAGACUGGCAACUUCUGGGUUCUGAAAAACCUCAAUUAUUAGACAACACUGUAUAGCAAGGGUGAGGACGGACUUCACCCUUCCUAUGGGAAGACUCAGCUGCCUUGGGCAAAAACUGUAUAAUAGUACUACAAAAACAGCCACUUAGUGGAGUUCAAACCACACUGAAAAAAAUCUGUUUAGUAAAUUUCCAAAGUUGCAAACCAUGUGGACCCACCUGGCAUUCCACCGGGACUGGACAGCCCCCACUGGAUUAUACUGGAUAUGUGGGCAUAGAGCCUAUGCCAACUUACCUGACCAAUGGGCAGGUAGUUGUGUUAUUGACACCAUUAAACCAUCCUUUUUCCUACUGCCCAUAAAAACAGGCGAGCUCCUGGGCUUCCCUGUCUAUGCUUCCCGAGAAAAAAAAAAGCAUAGCUAUAGGCAACUGGAAAGAUGACAAGUGGCCCCCUGAAAGAAUCAUACAGUAUCAUGGGCCUGCCACUUGGGCACAGGAUGGCUUGUGGGGAUACCAAACCCCCAUUUAUAUGCUCAACCAAAUCAUACAGUUACAAACUGCCUUAGAAAUAAUCUUUAAUAAAACUGGCAGAGCUUUAACUGUUUUAUCCUGGCAAGAAACCCAGAUGAGAAAUGUUAUUCAUAAAAAUAGACUAGCCCUAGACUACUUGCUAGCAGCUGAAGGAGGGGUCUGUGGAAAGCUUAACCUGACCAAUUGCUGUCUGCACAUAGAUGACCAAGGGCAAGUAGUUGAAGAUAUAGUUAAAGAUAUAACAAAGCUGGCACAUGUGCCUGUGCAGGUGUGGCAUGGGUUUAAUCCUAGCUCCAUGUUUGGAAAAUGGUUUCCAGCACUAGGAGGAUUUAAAACUCCUAUAUAGGAAUUAUAAUAGUAACAGGAACCUGCUUGUUGCUUCCCUGUGUGCUGCCUUUGCUCCUUCAAGUAAUGAAAAGUUUUGUCACUACCUUAGUCUGUCAAAAUACUUCAGCACAACUGUACUAUAUGAAUCACUAUUAAUCUAUCUUGCAAGAAGACAUGGGUAGUGAGGAUGAAAGUGAAAACUCCCAUUAAUGAGUGAGGUUCUCAAAGCGGGGGAAUAAGGGAGGAGACCACCCCUCACAUUGUCUUAUGCCCAAUUUCUGCCUCCAAAGAAAGGAGAAGUAAAGACUAAAAGGCAGAAAUGAAAUCCACAGGCAGACAGCCCGUUGCCGCACCCUGGGCCUGGUUAAAGAUCGACCCCUGACCUAACUGGUUAUGUUAUCUAUAGAUUCCAGACAUUGUAUGGAAAAGCAUUGUGAAAAUCCCUGUCCUGUUCUGUUCCAUUCUAAUUAUUGGUGCAUGCGACCCCCAGUCACAUACCCACUGCUUGCUCAAUCAUUCACAACUGUCUCACAUGGACCUUCCCCCUUAAAGUUGUAAGCCUUUAAAAAGGACAGGAAUUGCUCACUUGGGGAGCUCGGCUUUUGAGACACAAGUCUGCCAAAGUUCCCAGCGGAAUAAAGCUCCUUCCUUCUUUAACCCAGUGUCUGAGGAGUUUUGUCUGUGGCUCAUCCUGCUACAAAAGAAUGUGGGGGUAGUCCACAGAGUAUAGUGAAAGCAAGUUUAUUAAGAAAGCAAAGGAAUGAAAGAAUGGCUACUCCAUGGGCAGAGCAGGGAGUUCCCAGAAGCAAGAGGAGGAAGGUGCCCACCUUA